ACAUAUGAAGUAAAAAUUACAUUUAGUUUCGACCUAAAAAUAGAUUAGUCAAUCCUUAUGUG
rnacentral:tRNA from 1 species